rnacentral:rRNA from 1 species
UACGUAGGGAGCAAGCGUUGUCCGGAAUCAUUGGGCGUAAAGCGCGCGUAGGUGGCCUCAUAAGUCCGCUGUGAAAGUCAAAGGCUCAACCUCGAGACGCCGGUGGAAACCAUCAGACUAGAGUCCGGAAGAGGAGAGUGGAAUUCCUGGUGUAGCGGUGGAAUGCGCAGAUAUCAGGAGGAACACCGAUGGCGAAGGCAGCUCGCUGGGACGGUACUGACGCUGAGGCGCGAAAGCGUGGGGAGCGAACAGG